AGAGUUUGGAUCCUGGCUCAGAACGAACGCUGGCGGCGUGGAUUAGGCAUGCAAGUCGAACGAGAAACCUUUCAAUCAAUUCUUCGGAAGAGAGAGAGAGGUGGACAGUGGCGGAAGGGUGAGUAACGCGUGGGUAAUUUACCUUUAUGUCGGGGAUAGCUCUUGGAAACGGGAGGUAAUACCGGAUGUGGUCGUCCCGCUCCUGUGGGAUUGUCUAAAGGUGGGGAUUCUUCGGAACCUGCCGCAUGAAGAUGAGCCCGCGUCCCAUCAGCUUGUUGGUAGGGUAAUGGCCUACCAAGGCAUAGACGGGUAGCCGGCCUGAGAGGGUGUUCGGCCACACUGGGACUGAGACACUGCCCAGACUCCUACGGGAGGCUGCAGUCGAGAAUCAUUCGCAAUGCACGAAAGUGCGACGAUGCGACGUCGCGUGUAGGAUGAAGGCCUUCGGGUUGUAAACUACUGUCAUGAGGGAAAAAUAGCUCGGGUAUCAAUACCACCUGAGUCUGAUGGUACCUCAAGAGGAAGCCACGGCUAACUCUGUGCCAGCAGCCGCGGUAAUACAGAGGUGGCGAGCGUUGUUCGGAUUUACUGGGCGUAAAGGGUGCGUAGGCGGCUUCGUAUGUCGGGUGUGAAAGCCCACGGCUCAACCGUGGAACUGCAUUCGAAACUGCGAUGGCUAGAGUACUGGAGAGGUGAGCG
rnacentral:rRNA from 1 species